rnacentral:misc_RNA from 1 species
GUUUCCGUAGGUGAACCUGCGGAAGGAUCAUUACCGAGUGCGGGUCCUUUGGGCCCAACCUCCCAUCCGUGUCUAUUGUACCCUGUUGCUUCGGCGGGCCCGCCGCUUGUCGGCCGCCGGGGGGGCGCCUCUGCCCCCCGGGCCCGUGCCCGCCGGAGACCCCAACACGAACACUGUCUGAAAGCGUGCAGUCUGAGUUGAUUGAAUGCAAUCAGUUAAAACUUUCAACAAUGGAUCUCUUGGUUCCGGCAUCGAUGAAGAACGCAGCGAAAUGCGAUAACUAAUGUGAAUUGCAGAAUUCAGUGAAUCAUCGAGUCUUUGAACGCACAUUGCGCCCCCUGGUAUUCCGGGGGGCAUGCCUGUCCGAGCGUCAUUGCUGCCCUCAAGCCCGGCUUGUGUGUUGGGUCGCCGUCCCCCUCUCCGGGGGGACGGGCCCGAAAGGCAGCGGCGGCACCGCGUCCGAUCCUCGAGCGUAUGGGGCUUUGUCACAUGCUCUGUAGGAUUGGCCGGCGCCUGCCGACGUUUUCCAACCAUUCUUUCCAGGUUGACCUCGGAUCAGGUAGGGAUACCCGCUGAACUUAAGCNNA